CGUUCCUCUCCUCUCUUUUUUCUCCUCUACUAACCUUAAACUGAGAUCUUUGAAAUCAAACCCAAAAUUUCGAAACCAUGACCCAUCUCUCUUAAACCGUCAUCCACAAAUCAAAACCCAUAUUUCGUAAAUCAAACCCAAUCAUUGAUUAAUUCCAAUUUCAUUUCAAACCCUAGAUUCAUAUGUGCUUUAUCCAUCAGCCCUCAGAAACCUCAUCAAUCUCACAAGAAAUAGGAAUCAUGAAAAACCUCUCUCUCACAACAAAUCGGUAUGUUAAAAAAUCCCUCUUUUCAUCUCAUCUCUGAUUUCUAAAUCUCUUUAGAACUCGUUCAUUCACCUUUUUUUUAUUCAUGGAGUUUAUGGUAUGAACCCUAAUAUACCAGAAAUCAAAACCAUCCUAUGACAAGAAAUCUGUAACCAUAUACUGAGUUUGGGUAACCUAAUCUUCGGUGGAGUUAUGAAGGAACAAAAUUUGUAGACUCUUUACUUAGUUGUACCCACUUGUAAAUCACAGCUACUGAAGCUUAUGAGAAGAUCAAAUGAGGUAUAAGGUGUUGAAGACGAUCACUUUGAGGUGGCUAGCUCAAUUGGUGCAAUGUUUGUUAUGUACAAUGAUGCUAGAUCUUUUUCAUGCAGGGAAAGGCAGCUCAAAGGCAUACCUCAUACCCAUGUAAAUCUAUGCCACUGUAGGUCGCCGAUGGAUAACAGAGUUUUGGUAUUUGUGUUGUACAAGAAGGAAGCAUCUUGCGUUGAGAGUAUGCUCCAAAGGAAGGGCUGGAAGGUUUGUCUCUGUCCAUGGAGAUAAAGCUCAGGAUGAGCGUACAAGAUCACUUGCAUUAUUCAAAUAUGGAACAUGCCCAUUAAUGGUGUUUUUAGAGUAAUACACUUGUGUGGAAAAAGUUGCUCGAAAAGUGCUAUUUGGACCUCG